rnacentral:rRNA from 1 species
UGAGGGAAAGGCGAAAAGAACCCCGGCGAGGGGAGUGAAAAAGAACCUGAAACCGUGUACGUACAAGCAGUGGGAGCCCCACCACUAAGCCAGUGGUGAACUCCACAUCCGCAUCCUUUGCUGAGGAUACGGUUAACGGAGCGAAAGCGACGUUCAACCGCAAAACAAGCAGAGGGGGCUUAGUGGUGGGGUGACUGCGUACCUUUUGUAUAAUGGGUCAGCGACUUAUAUUCUGUAGCAAGGUUAACCGAAUAGGGGAGCCGGAGGGAAACCGAGUCUUAAUUGGGCGUUAAGUUGCAGGGUAUAGACCCGAAACCCGGUGAUCUAGCCAUGGGCAGGUUGAAGGU